UCACUGUGUAGAGGCGCUUUUGAUAUUAGUAGUAGAUGGAGUUGACAAGCUUAGAAGUCUAUGAAAGGAGAUAAAGCCGAAAGGUUGAAUAGGUGUAUUCAAACCUUGGGUAAUUUCAAAAUAUGAAAUUAACUGUCACUUGAAAAAGUGGAGAGCUAUUGAGUGU
rfam:Clostridium sp. CAG:288 genomic scaffold, scf23